rnacentral:rRNA from 1 species
GUGCCAGCAGCCGCGGUAAUACGAAGGGGGCUAGCGUUGCUCGGAAUGACUGGGCGUAAAGGGCGCGUAGGCGGCUAUCCAAGUCAGUGGUGAAAGCCCGGAGCUCAACUCCGGAACUGCCACUGAAACUGUUUAGCUUGAGGAUGAGAGAGGUGAGUGGAAUUCCCAGUGUAGAGGUGAAAUUCGUAGAUAUUGGGAAGAACACCAGUGGCGAAGGCGGCUAUCUGGACGGUUUCUGACGCUAAGACGCGAAAGCGUGGGGAGCAAACAGGAUUAGAUACCCUGGUAGUCCACGCCGUAAACGAUGGGUGCUAGACGUUGGCGAGCUUGCUCGUCAGUGUCGCAGCUAACGCGUUAAGCACCCCGCCUGGGGAGUACGGCCGCAAGGCUAAAACUCAAAGGAAUUGACGG